UCUUUAAAUGUGGACUAGUAUGAAUGGCACCACGAAGGUUAUACUGUCUCCUUUUUUUAAUCAGUGAAACUAAUUUCCCCGUGAAGAAGCGAGGAUAUAUUUAUAAGACGAGAAGACCCUAUGGAGCUUUAAACAACACAGCAAUUACCCACUAAACUACAAGGUUUCUGAACAUUUUUAAUCUUUUAAGUAAUCUGACUGCAAGUUUUUGGUUGGGGUGACCACGGAGCAUAACACAACCUCCAUGUUGAAAGAAUUUUNNUUCUAAACCAAGAACAACCUUUCUAAGCAUCAAUAUAUUGACAUCCAUUGACCCAAUACAUUUGACCAACGAACCAAGUUACCCUAGGGAUAACAGCGCAAUCCACUUCAAGAGCUCCUAUCGACAAGUGGGUUUACGACCUCGAUGUUGGAUCAGGGUAUCCCAGUGGUGCAGCCGCUACUAAAGGUUCGUUUGUUCAACGAUUAAAACCCUACGUGA
rnacentral:rRNA from 1 species